GGCGCGGUAGCUCAGUCGGUAGAGCGUCCGCCUGAAAAGUGGAAGGUCACCAGUCGAUCCUGGUUCGUGCCA
rnacentral:tRNA from 1 species